rnacentral:misc_RNA from 1 species
CUGCAAUGACUAAAACUUGUUAAUAGAUAAUAUAGUUUCACAUUUUUUGCGUGCAACAUGUAAAGAACCGCAUACAAAUGUGGCCUAGCAGGAAUGCCUACCACUAAGAGCCUAAGCAAUGAUUUCCUGUUAUCCAUUUCCAAAAGCCCAAAAUUUGUUUGAGGCUGGGGAUUUUUUGUAUGUCACAGAUGCUUCUCAGCCACAGAAGAAAUCCCUAUAUUACAUAAUUAUUUUCUUUGAUUUGAAACUAGUUAGGGCUGCAAACGAGCCUAGCUGCUCAUGAGCUACUUGGAGUUGGAGCUCAGCUUAAUAAAAGCUCACUUAAGGCUCAGUUGACAUAUGACCCAGGCAAGCUCACCUUGUGAGUCUUUACAAGCUCAUGAACCAUCUCAUAUGUAACUUCAUCAAAAAUUUAAUUUUAAAUUUAAGAGGUUCUUAUUAUAUUUAUGAUAUUCAUACAGAAUUAAAAUCAUUUAUUAAAAAAG